rnacentral:lncRNA from 1 species
CUGUGUCUGAGAUCCUGGAGCUCCCAAGCUAGAAUCUGGGUGAGUAUGAGACUUCUUAUGGAUGGGAGCUGAGUGAGUUUGAACCGCGUAGCAGCUAGGGCCAGGAGCCUAGUCGUGCCUGAGAUCUUGUACGCUGGGAUAGAGGGGUUGACUGUGUCUGAGGCCCCUGAGGGUAGUGACCUGGCGUCUGGGUGAACCUGAGAUUGCUGCUGGCUGGAUAGUCUGAGACCCACAGGUGCUGGGAACAUGCUGCUGGGUGGUCAAACAGAGAGUCUGUACGGUUAUAUGCACCCCAGGAGAGGCUGAGGUGUAAAAUGGGCUCCCCUGGUCUCCACAGAGCUUGGCAGAGCUGAGAGAUCAGCGGCAGGGGGAGCGCCUGGAACAUGCAGCAGCUUUGCGGGCCCUACAAGAUCAGGUAUCCAUCCAGAGUGCAGAUGCACAGGAACAAGUGGAAGGGCUUUUGGCUGAGAACAAUGCCUUGAGGACUAGCCUGGCUGCCCUGGAGCAGACGGAGUUUCGGUCUUGUUGUCC